UCUCCUCUCCAAGUGUCUGAUAUCCAACAGUAAAAAGAAAAGAGACUCGCAAGGGGAAAAACAUAAAACUUCAAGAGAAUUUCGACCUCAGUGCAUGAAACGCAUUGGAGCACAGUGGACGUCUUCCUUUUGUCCCGACAUCUUCACCACCUCCGUCCACAUUGUCAGACGCAACAACGUAUCCCUCCGCACAAAUGUGAGGGCCUCAACGCCAGCGGUGUCCGAUUUCAAACGCCUUUGAGAGAAUGGGUAUUUUUACAGAGAGAAAAAUACAAUUUUGACGUCUUCUGAUGCCUAAAACGACGGAAAUGCAUAAUUUCAAGGCUGAGUUUUGUGUACCAUAUCUGCAAUCCUCAAAAUGAGGGAGCGCUGCAAGAACUACGUCGUACGGCGGAAGGCUAUCGUAAGAAAGUUACCUGCGAUUACACAGCAGCAGCUUGACGAGAUGGCACGAUAAAUGCGAAGCAGCUCAGCCAAUGGGGAAGCGUGCACAGUUGACUGACAGCAACACCAGCCAGCAAACGGCUGGAAAUACAAUUUGUGCCCGCCUUCUUCUUGACGCUUACUUUCCCUGUGUGCUCAGGGAGGCUGGCUGAGGGGGGCUCCAACAUGCCCGCUGACAUCAUUUUAUUACUGUGGUUGCUGUGUCUUCCUUUCCUGUUUUUCCAAAAAAAACAAUAUACUUAACCGACGGCCUGAGAUAAUUUUGGUUUUUUUUUACAAUAACAACAGCAACUGUUAACUAAAUUAUCAUUUAAAUGUAAAUGUAAAAUUUUGUCUCAACAUUUAACGAUAAUACAUGUAAAUCUAGCUUCGUUAUUUGCUGUUUUUUCUGUACCAAUACAACUCUAUGACAUAAGCUGAAUGCAUUAUAAUGUGUGAUUUAAAAAAAAAAAAUAUGAUAUUGACCUCCUGAUGUAUAGGUUGUUAUGAGGGGACCUAACAUGACUACUGUUUUCCUUUGUGUUUAUUUGUUUGUUUUGUUAUGUUGUUGUUUUAACCUAGCAAUUACAUGCACAUAACAUUGACUGGUUCCAAUCCAAAGUCAUGUUUCCAUCCAGCUAACUACAUGUAAAAAUGACCAACUGCUGUAAUCAUGACACAUUAUUUCCAUUAUAAUGUUGCUUUGUUUUAUUACUGAGUGAUUUGCUGCUUAUUCUCUCAAUUGAUCUAUUGAUUAGUUUGUUUAGAAAAUGUUAGAAAACAGUUUUAAAAAAAAAAAAAAAAAAAACUUCAUGAUUUACCAAACAUGUAUUCAAGUUGUGUGUUUUAUCCCACCAGUAAUCCCAGACUCAAAGAUACACAGUUUCCUAUCACACAUGUCAAAGAAAAUCAUCAAAACCUCACAAUAAAGAGACUAUAACCAGCAAA